GAUGAACGCUGGCGGCGUGCCUAAUACAUGCAAGUCGAGCGAACAGACGAGGAGCUUGCUCCUCUGACGUUAGCGGCGGACGGGUGAGUAACACGUGGAUAACCUACCUAUAAGACUGGGAUAACUUCGGGAAACCGGAGCUAAUACCGGAUAAUAUAUUGAACCGCAUGGUUCAAUAGUGAAAGACGGUUUUGCUGUCACUUAUAGAUGGAUCCGCGCCGCAUUAGCUAGUUGGUAAGGUAACGGCUUACCAAGGCAACGAUGCGUAGCCGACCUGAGAGGGUGAUCGGCCCCACUGGAACUGAGAGACGGUCCAGACUCCUACGGGAGGGAGCAGUAGGGAAUCUUCCGCAAUGGGGGAAAGCCUGACGGAGCAACGCCGCGUGAGUGAUGAAGGUCUUCGGAUCGUAAAACUCUGUUAUUAGGGAAGAACAAAUGUGUAAGUAACUAUGCACGUCUUGACGGUACCUAAUCAGAAAGCCACGGCUAACUACGUG
rnacentral:rRNA from 1 species